CUGAACAAUCCCAUCAGCAACCAGACUCAACAUCUGGACAUCACUCACCUCUGUCACACAUGUUCAGAUCAAGGUCUACCUUUAUUGUACAUAGUUCUGAUCUCUGCUGCUGGAUCUCUGUUGAUUGUAGCUGUGGUUGGGAUGUUCUGGAUCUGCAAGAAAUAUAGAAAAACAGUCAAAACCCAGGAGGAAGACAGAACUGAUUCACCAGUGCUUAAAACAACAACACGGAAAAUGGUAAGAUGUUGCAAGAAGUUGUUGCAGUCAGUUAGUUUGAAGUUUGCAGCAUCAGACGUGUGUGGUUUAUCAACGCUGUCAUUAAUGUUCCUGUGGUUUAUAUUCUGAGCUGAAAUGUAGUAUUAGCAUCCGCUGGUUUCUUAGUAAACAUACUGCAAAAGUAUCUUUGAUGAUGCUUUUGUGUGAAAGACAGUUAUUCUCAGAGCAGAGGCUGUCGAGACGAAACUUCAGAAAUUAAAUACUCUGUUUGAUGAUUUACACGGUGUGUGUGUUCACUAUGUGUGUGUGUACUUGGAUGGCUUAAAUGCAGAGCACAAAUUGCAGGUAUGGGACACCAUGCUUGGCCACACAUCACGUCAAAUUCACUUUUUUUUUUUUUUUUUUUACUUUCAACUGUUUAAAAAGUCAUGAUUGAGGUCAUUUCCUCCAUGUAUUCUUAUCAUCUGUCCUGUAUGGUAGUUUUUCAAAACAAAAAAAGGUUAUUCAGACAGAAACAUCUUCUAUUAAUUUUCUAUCAAUUCGUCAGGUUCCUGACUGAGUGUAUUUUUCCUUUCAGAAAUCAAAGAUGGAGCCUGUGUAUGAAAAUGUCUCCAAAAAACGAUGAUCAAACAUUAUAUCUAUACUGAGAUUUUUGUUAUAGAUUAUAAAUAUAACACACUUUUGGUUUUGUUCACAUUUAUUCUGUGCCAGGAUGUCUACAUUUUGUUUUCACCCUUUGUAUCAUAUAUUUUUGUGUUAUUGCAAUGUCUGAAAUUGUGUUUUAAUUAUAAUAACAUACAAAAACUCAACUAAAAUGUUCUAUUUUAAGUUUAUCAUUUAAUUCAUGACAUGGAGGUAAAGAACUGCCUGAAGCAAAGUGCAUGAAAAUAAUUUAAUGCAGAGUUAGCCGUGGAUUAUCCCACUUAUGCCAUGUUAAUUUGCCAGCACUUAAAACUUAAAAGCAGUUAUUAAAGAGCACCUAUUAUACCCUUUUUCACAAUUUGUAAUAUAAGUCCCUGAUGUCCCCAGAAAUACCCCACAGAUCAUUUAUUAUCAAAUUUACCCCUAUUUGAGUGUGAGCAAAAACACACGGUUAAUUGUGUGUCCCUUUGAGCUUUAACAGCUCACACUUUGCAUACUCAAC